CACACGACUCUCGGCAACGGAUAUCUCGGCUCUCGCAUCGAUGAAGAACGUAGCAAAAUGCGAUACCUGGUGUGAAUUGCAGAAUCCCGUGAACCAUCGAGUCUUUGAACGCAAGUUGCGCCCGAGGCCUUCUGGCCGAGGGCACGCCUGCCUGGGCGUCACGC
rnacentral:rRNA from 2 species